GUCCGUGUAGUGUAGUGGUAAACACGUCAUCUGAGCCUGUUGUGGCUCUCCGAAAUCUAUAUCUGAUGAUGCCCUCGGUGCGAUUCCGAGCGCAGACA